rnacentral:rRNA from 1 species
UACGUAGGGGGCAAGCGUUGUUCGGAAUUACUGGGCGUAAAGGGCGCGUAGGCGGCACAGCAAGUCGGGAGUGAAAGCCCGGGACUCAACCCCGGAACUGCUUUCGAAACUGCUGAGCUAGAGUACAGAAGGGGCAACCGGAAUUCCCAGUGUAGCGGUGAAAUGCGUAGAUAUUGGGAAGAACACCUGAGGCGAAGGCGGGUUGCUGGGCUGAUACUGACGCUGAGGCGCGAAAGCCAGGGGAGCAAACGGG